UUCUGGCUCAGGAUGAACGCUGGCGGCGUGCUUAACACAUGCAAGUCGAACGAGGUUAAGACUCGGUUUAAACCGAGUGGCGGACGGGUGAGUAACGCGUGGGUAACCUGCCGUAUGCAGGGGGACAACAGUUAGAAAUGACUGCUGAUACCGCAUAAGCUUACAGUAUCGCAUGAUACAGUGAGAAAAGAUUUAUCGGCAUACGAUGGACCCGCGUCUGAUUAGCUAGUUGGUGAGGUAACGGCCCACCAAGGCGACGAUCAGUAGCCGACCUGAGAGGGUGACCGGCCACAUUGGGACUGAGACACGGCCCAAACUCCUACGGGAGGCAGCAGUGGGGAAUAUUGCACAAUGGGCGCAAGCCUGAUGCCAGCGACGCCGCGUGAGUGAUGAAGUAUUUCGGUACGUAAAGCUCUAUCAGCAGGGAAGAUAAUGACGGUACCUGACUAAGAAGCCCCGGCUAACUACGUGCCAGCCGCCGC
rnacentral:rRNA from 1 species